CCCUCAGUAGCGGCGAGCGAAGAGGGAAGAGCCCAGCGCCGAAUCCCCGCCCGCGGCGGGCGCGGGAAAUGUGGCGUACAGAAGACCGCUUGCCCGGCGUCGAUCGGGGGCCUAAGUCCUUCUGAUCGAGGCUCAACCCGCGGACGGUGUGAGGCCGGUAAGGGCCCUCGUCGCGCCGGGGUCCGGUCUUCUCGGAGUCGGGUUGUUUGUGAAUGCAGCCCAAAGCGGGUGGUAAACUCCAUCUAAGGCUAAAUACUUGCACGAGACCGAUAGCGGACAAGUACC
rnacentral:rRNA from 1 species